rnacentral:lncRNA from 1 species
UCUGUUCUUUAAUGAGUAGUCAUAAUAUGAGAAGCCCAAGCCACAUGGGGAGACCACAUGGAGAACUAACUUGCCUCUGUCAAUCCCAUAUGAUCUCCCUGCCAAGUGCCAGCAUCAAAUGCCAACCAUGCUCCAGUGUGACUCAGCACAGUGUUCACAGCCCAUGCUCUCAAGAAUCUCAGCUUAGGAGGAGGCAAAGAGCCGCUCUACAGUAAGGUAAAUAAGUCAUUUAGUCAGGAACUCUGCACAUUUACCUCUGCAUUUAUCAAAUAUUUGUUGAAGGAAAUAAUAAAAGAAGUGAGGAGGAAGAAGAGGUUUCCUGGGUUUUUUUAAUGUGUGAGAUUGGAAGAAAUCUUGUGAGUAAUCAUGAAUUUUAGGAAUCCCAGAAGGGAGCAAAGAAGAUUCUGAAAAAAAGAGAAAUACUUCUCUGAGUUGGAAAUUGGUUAAAUUUAGUGAUGUUUGAGCCUCAGCUUACAUUGGAAAUCACUAACUACUUUUAAAUUACUUUUGGUUUUGGACCCUGUUUCUUGCUCUGGGACUACACAAAAGGACUGAGCCAAGACAGGAGCAGGAAUUUGGCUUGCCAUUUAUUUAAUUUAUAUUUUAUUGUCUGCUAAAAAUUGAAUGCGUUUCAGAGCAAGAUAGAAGAGGAGUACAUCUCAAAUGCUUUUGAAGUUACAUUUCCAAAGUGAGGUCCCAGCUGGAAGUAUAAAUGGUUCUCCAAUUUUGCAGAUGGAAUUUUAUCCAAUAUUCAGAUGUAUAAUCUGCUUCAAGUAUGUACACAGGGGAAGUAAUAAGAGUACUGUGAAUUCUCAACUGACCAUUUUCUGACACAUUAAAGAAAUAGCAAAGCACUUAUCUCUGAAGUCUCACUUUUUAAAUAUGUUACAAUGAAUUGUGAUCCUGUUUUAUGUAUCUGACUGACAGCACUGGGAAUUAAGUUCCUCAGCCAAUGAAAUAAUAAACCCAAUGCCACGAUAAAACCUACGGUAGAGACUGAUAAGGACUCCAGAUCCAGGCUGCUAAUACUCUUCAAAGUCAUUCAGCUGUGGCUACUACAUGAUGUCUGAGUGUUUCCACAAGGCACUGUUUUGGACAUUGGGAACAUCGAAGUAGAGUGAGCAUCAUCAUGAAUGGAAACACUUUCUCUGAAAAAAGACAUAAAACAAUUGAAAGUCAGCAGUGUCUUUCUUGCAAAAUAUUAUGAAGAUCAGGACAAUUAGAAUUAGGUAUACUCCAAUUCCAUUUUAGAAUUUGCAAUAGAGAAGGUGCUUUGGGAAUGGAAUUAAAUGAGCUGAUUCAUGUAAAGGGAUUUAACUGGGUGCCGGACCUGUCAUAAACUCUUAACGUGAACAGGAGAGUUACUGUAAAAACUGAGACAACAAAACAGCCGGAGGCAUGAAAAGAAAAAGAAUCCCGCAUGAAUAGCUUGCUAUAUGUAAUUUGGUUAGGAACAAUUCACAGGUUUUGACAGCUUUAUUAGAGUUCCAUUUUAGUAAGAUUCAGGUGAAAGUGAGGUCAUCACUUUAAAACAAAAAUCCUGAGAACAUACCCAGAUGGACUCACAUAAAUGAUGUAUACUAAUGUCGUCAAGUAAAUAUUUUAAAGAGUUAAUUGCUUUCUUUAUUAAAAACUGGAUUUAAAUACUCCAUUAUUUCAUAAGAAUAAAACAACUACAACACCGCCACAACAUAAAAAGUGUUUACCUUAAUGUAUUAUGAACACCAGCAGUGAGUUCCAGUAAUAUCUUGCACUUCUGAAGAUGUGUAAGUAUACUAAGGAACAUGCUUAACUUAGAACUCACUAAUGGAAGUUACAGAGAUUUAUUCAGAUCCAUGUUAGCAUGCUUGAUACCCUUAAGCACACUAACAAUAUACAGCAUCUGCUUUCAGGGAUGUUUUUACCUCUUGUACUAGUUUCAGAAAGCCCAUGUCUGAAUAAUUCCUAAGUAAUGGUUUUUUAGCUUACUCUAUAAUUUUGAUU